rnacentral:rRNA from 1 species
AUUGAACGCUGGCGGCAUGCUUUACACAUGCAAGUCGAACGGUAACAGGCCGCAAGGUGCUGACGAGUGGCGAACGGGUGGGUAAUGCAUCGGAACGUGCCCAGUCGUGGGGGGUAACUACUCGAAAGAGUAGCUAAUACCGCAUACGAUCUAUGGAUGAAAGCGGGGGACCGUAAGGCCUCGCGCGAUUGGAGCGGCCGAUGUCAGAUUAGGUAGUUGGUGGGGUAAAGGCUCACCAAGCCAACGAUCUGUAGCUGGUCUGAGAGGACGACCAGCCACACUGGGACUGAGAAACGGCACAGACUCCUACGGGGGGCAGCAGUGGGGAAUUUUGGACAAUGGGGGAAAGCCUGAUCCAGCAAUGCCGCGUGCAGGAAGAAGGCCUUCGGGUUGCAAACUGAUUUUGUACGGAACGAAACGGCUCUGGUUAAUACCCGGGGCUAAUGACGGUACCGUAAGAAUAAGCACCGGCUAACUACGUG